rnacentral:rRNA from 1 species
UCGGGAAUAUUGCGCAAUGGAGGAAACUCUGACGCAGUGACGCCGCGUAUAGGAAGAAGGUUUUCGGAUUGUAAACUAUUGUCGUUAGGGAAGAUAAAAGACUGUACCUAAGGAGGAAGCCCCGGCUAACUAUGUGCCCAGCAGCCGCGGUAAUACAUAGGGGGGACAAGCGUUAUCCGGAAUUAUUGGGUGUAAAGGGUGCGUAGACGGAAGAACAAGUUGGUUGUGAAAUCCCUCGGCUCAACUGAGGAACUGCAACCAAACUAUUCUCCUUGAGUGUCGGAGAGGAAAGUGGAAUUCCUAGUGUAGCGGUGAAAUGCGUAGAUAUUAGGAGGAACACCAGUGGCGAAGGCGACUUUCUGGACGAUAACUGACGUUGAGGCACGAAAGUGUGGGGAGCAAACAGGAUUAGAUACC